rnacentral:rRNA from 1 species
AGUGAACGCUGGCGGUAGGCCUAACACAUGCAAGUCGAACGGCAACACAGUAAGAGCUGGCUCUUACGGGUGGCGGGUGGCGGACGGGUGAGGAAUACAUCGGAAUCUACGGUUUCGUGGGGGGUAACGUAUGGAAACUUACGCUAAUACCGCAGACUACCUGCGGGGGAAAGCAGGGGAUCUUCGGACCUUACGCGACGGAGGGAGCCGAGGUCGGAUUAGUUAGUUGGCGGGGUAAAGGCCCACCAAGGCGACGAUCCGUAGCUGGUCUGAGAGGAUGACCAGCCACACUGGAACUGAGACACGGCCCAGACUCCUACGGGAGGCAGCAGUGGGGAAUAUUGGACAAUGGGCGCAAGCCUGAUCCAGCCAUACCGCGUGGGUGAAGAAGGCCUUCGGGUUGUAAAGCCCUUUUGUUCGGAACGAAAAGCAGCAGGUUAAUACCCCGCUGUUCUGACGGUACCCAAAGAAUAAGCACCGGCUAACUUCGUG